UACGGAGGGCGCGAGCGUUACUCGGAAUUACUGGGCGUAAAGCGCGCGUAGGCUGUUGUGUAAGUUGGGGGUGAAAUCCCACGGCUCAACCGUGGAACAGCCCUUGAUACUGCGCGACUUGAAUCCGAGAGAGGGUGGCGGAAUUCCAGGUGUAGGAGUGAAAUCCGUAGAUAUCUGGAGGAACAUCAGUGGCGAAGGCGGCCACCUGGACCGGUAUUGACGCUGAGGCGCGAAAGCGUGGGGAGCAAACAGG
rnacentral:rRNA from 1 species